GUGCUCGAUUUGGCAGCACAUAUACUCAAAUUGGAACGAGACAGAGAAGAUUAGCAUGGCCCUUGCGCAUGCUAAAUUCAUGAAGGAGAAUUUAAAGGUUUGU